AGGACUAACGCUGGCGGCGUGCCUAACACAUGCAAGUCGAACGGGGUAGCAAUACCCAGUGGCAGACGGGUGAGUAACACGUGGUCAACCUACCUCUAUGUGGGGGAUAACUAGCCGAAAGGUUAGCUAAUACCGCAUACGAUCGCUUUGGGGCAUCCCUAGGCGAUGAAAGGAGCAAUCCGCAUAGAGAGGGGACUGCGUCCCAUUAGUUAGUUGGUGGGGUAACGGCCUACCAAGACUCCGAUGGGUAGCUGGCUUGAGAGAGCGACCAGCCACACUGGAACUGAGACACGGUCCAGACUCCUAUGGGAGGCAGCAGUGAGGAAUUUUCCGCAAUGGGCGAAAGCCUGACGGAGCGACGCCGCGUGUGGGAAGAAGGGCCUUCGGGUCGUAAACCACUGUCGAAGGGGACGAUAAUGACGGUACCCUUGGAGGAAGCCCGGCUAACUACGUGCCAGCAGCCGC
rnacentral:rRNA from 1 species